rnacentral:lncRNA from 1 species
AACUUAGUCUUUUAUUUCUCUUUAGGUCGGGAUGUUGAACAGACAACAUGUAUAGAGACGGAAUGUACACAAUGUAAUUUCUUUUGUCAUUGUAGGAAAUUGACAUUUUGAUCACAGUUCACCAGCAGUGCAUGUUUUGGAUUUAAUUGAACCGGUGGAACUUUAAUACACAUUUAACGAUUAUUUUCUUAAAAUGUACAUUUUUCAGCACCAGUUUGUAACACAGAUUAGUAUUUUAAUCUAGGAGCGGACAUUUUAUUGUAGCAUUUCACUGAGAUUUACGGACCUAGCAAGCAAUUUAUACGGCAUUGCAAUUUUUUUUCUCUAGGAAAAGUCUUGAGAGAUAUCUGCACCACGUUGUUUUAUGAACCUUAAGUACAUGUAUGCCCUGCUGACUGCAAAUUUUGGGGUCGAUUGGACUUGUAGUGUCCGAGUUCAACUGAUAACAAGGAUGUGGAUUUUUUUUUUCAGAAGAGAUGUAAGAACAAUAUUAAACUGUCAAUUGUUCUUGAACAAUUGAGAGGUCUUUCCUUUUGUAAUGUAAAAUACAUGUUCCAACAGACGUAGAAUGUAUUGAAAAGGUCAAAGUCAACCUUUAAAAGCUCGAAAAAACACAAAAAAUCCUUUAUAUAAGGUUAAAAACACUAAAUUCGCUAACUGGGACAUGACCUUGACCUUUGACCUUUUGACCUUUGUCAAGGUCAUCAGUCCCCAAUGCCAUUACUGAAGACCCCAAGGGUCUAGGACCUUUGGUUAUAUAGUAAAAGCUGAUUUUGUCUUUCAGAAACCUAAAACAGGGGUUAUGCCCCUUAAAAAAAGGUCAAAUCUUUUUGGUCAAAAUGUAACAAAGUUGCGCCAUAAUGACCCAAACAUUUUCCACUAUUUAAAACUUCUGUAAGUUUUAUGGUUUCUGAGAUUAUCCCAUAACAAGAUGUUAGGUCAAAGGUCAAGGUCAACAUACAAAUUUGACCUUGAGGUAUUUUUCAAAGAUACAUGAAUUGAUGAUGAUUGGUGAAGAUCCUAGGUGUCUACGACUAACAGUUUCUGAGUUUUGGUGGCCAACCGACACCGGUUAAUUUUCAAAGGGGCAUAACCCUACCAAUGAGUCGUUGAAUCUUUUCGAUCCAAAUGUAACGAAGAACCGGUGUCUGGUCCUGAACAAAUUUCACCCUUUGUUUUUUUUCUACCUAUUACGGUUACGGUGUUGGAACGAUAACAAGGUUUUUUGGUUUCGGAGGGAUAACUCCGAACCGACAAAAUAUUUCGACUCACAGGGUGAGUUCUGGAUAGGUAUUCAUGACACUGAUACAAAUUGUGAAUAUGAAAGCGACACGUCUUACGGUUAACGCGGCUAAAUUUGUCAAAGUUUAACGGAAGAAUAAUAAUAAUAAUAAACAGAAGAAAUACAGUAAGGUCUUUCCCUUUAGUAAAGGAAAGACCUUAAUAAUAGGGAAAAAACUGGAGUUGUCGUUCUUAUCCGUUGAUUGGAUAGUCUUCUUGUCGCUUAAUUUAUUCUUCUUGUCCGUUCUUGACGCUUCUUGUCGCUAAAAUUCUUCUUGUCGUUAUUAGUGAGACCGCUAUUUUUAGAUUAAUUUACACUACACGUAUAACCUGUGUAGUGAUUUUUAUUUUACGAUAAAUUUAUGAAUGAACGAUAAUUUUAUGAAUGAACAAGAGCACCUGACCUCUUUCUGAAACACCAAUUAAACAUAUAAAAUCGUAUUUAUUAAGAUAUAAUUCAGUCAAAUUUUCACCACUAAAUCAACAACUGAAAUGAUUCCAUAUUUUGUUGAAACAUCGUACAACCGGAGAACAGAAAUCGCAGGUAUGAAAAUGCACUUUUUUCACUGGUGUUGAAAACCCAAAACUAAUUUGACUAUAAUUUAUGAAUGACGGA